GCGGUAGUGCUGGAAUCGGCAGACAGGCACGCUUGAGGUGCGUGUGUCCAAGACGUAUGGGUUCAAGUCCCAUUUACCGCACCA
rnacentral:tRNA from 1 species